GUUGCCUAAAUUUCGUAAUUUGAUUUGAGAGCGGGGUAGAUGAAGAGGAUUGAUUCGGAUUGCUCCGUGUUUGGGAUCAAAAAUGCUGGCCAUUCCACCAGAUCUAGUUUCCUAUAAACGCCGAUUCAAUUCAACUCGAAAUUACAAUCAUCUCCCUUUAUGAUCCAAGUCUGUAACCAAUCUAAUACCGUCCGCCAAUCACCCUUGCUGUUCAGUCUCUAAAUAUGUCAACAAAGCAAACCCUAAACCAAGAUAUAGUGGCUGAACUAGAAGCAAAGAAAACAGAACUCGAACGACUCCAAAAACAACAAGAACAAUUGGGAAGCUUCAUAGUUGAUCUCCAAAGCAGGCGUGAAGAAUUGCAAAAUCUUUCGACGAGCGCUCGCCAAGCUCGUGAAAACCGUUUGAAAGGAACGACUGCCUCAAUCGACCAAGAGAUAGUCCAGUACCAGCAAGAACUCCAAAGCACCGUGCAGAGAAUUGCUAUUAUUAGGGCAUCCAUUCGUCUCCUCUCGCCAUCGUAAACGCCUCGAAAUACGCCAGUUUGUUGGGGAGCACAAUUAAUUUCGCUUACGCCUUGUGAAGAGAUAGCAAGCUGCAGGAAGUCGCUAGAACAAGAUUUUCGAUGCUAGUUCUCAGACGGUUCAAUGAUGAGCGAGCGUAAGAAUCAACGUUGGUAGUCACAGGAGGCUCAGCUAGAGGGGGGUUCGUUUGCUGGGUGGUUUUUUGUUCUCUUUGGAUUCCGAGCUUAUCACAUUCUUUUUCGAAAAGAUCAAGUUCUUGAAGUUUCCGCUGUAUGGCUUCUCGCUCCUUUUCAUUUUCCUCCAGGCUGUAGAACUCUUCCAAUCUUUUUUUGUCAUUAUCCCUUUCUUUCCCAUAAUAGUCGUAUUCGAUCACGGACCAGUAUAUAUUGCCAAAAUAAAGUGGCUGUAACAAUCCGAGCGCAAUGAAAACGGCAGGAGAUUUAAGUGAUUUAGCCCAUAUCUUUUCAAGUGGAAGGUUAUCAAAAAUUCGGCAUCCGGGAUGAUAUUUUAUUUCCCGCUCUCGUGUUUCCAUGCGGAAGUUGAAGAGCUCGCUUUCAUAUAUGAGUCGCCCAGGCAUCUUUGCAGUUCCAACCAGUUCAAGUCCAUCGAGCCAGGAUGGAGGCACAAACAUUUGAACGGGGAUGGUGUGACUCCACUCCCAAUCCAAAACAGACAGGAUAUUCAGGUCAUCGUCAACAAGGAUAUUAGCAGACCGCAGAUCACCAUGAUUCAGUAUAAAUGGCCCAUGAUUAUGCUCAGGCUGCACCCACUCCAUCAGAAACCGGCGGGACAUGUGCAAGCUGUAGAGAUAGCCUCGAGCAUCCGCCUCGCCCAUAAUGCUGUCCCUGCCCUGGUGGAAGUCAUUGAGUAAAGCCUGGUGAAUGGUGUAAACAUAGUCGAUGGUUGACUGGAACGUGUGAUUAGGCCCUACAAAGGGAGGGUCAAUUCCGGCAAGGGCCUGGUCAUUCAUCAAUACUGAAAGUGGUCGAUUAUGAGCAAAAACCCAAUUUUCAUCCUUUGAAUCCAGAGUAAGAGCACCGAUUCGGUCAAACUUAUGCUGGAACAGCUGGAUAUAAAUGUCACCCAAUUUCGAAAAAAGCUCACAUCUCUGUGCUCGCGGGAGCUCGCGGAACUUCACAGUAAAUAGAGGUUUGCCCUCAAUAAACUCGAGCAACAGAAAUGGGAGACCAAGCUGAUUGUUUGAAUUUACUGAAUAUCCGUGCAGCUUCGGGAUAGGUAUUGUCGUCUUCUCGGCAAUGAACUUCAUUGUUGCAAUUUCACCUCGAAUCUUUUCCUCUGCGAAAGCCAAGCGCGGCAGGA
rnacentral:sRNA from 2 species